AAAGGUGGUGAGUUGGUAGAAAUGUUAGCGCGCUGGGCGAAAUCCUUAGUGGUAUUUCGUCUGCCAUUACGUUCUGAGUUCAAAUUCCGUUGAGGUUGACUUUGCCUUUCAUCCUUUCAGGGUUGAUAAAUUAAGUACCAGUUGUGUACUGAGAUCGAUCUAAUCGUUUGG